GGCAGACUAGAGUGCAGUAGGGGAGACUGGAAUUCCUGGUGUAGCGGUGGAAUGCGCAGAUAUCAGGAGGAACACCGAUGGCGAAGGCAGGUCUCUGGGCUGUAACUGACGCUGAGGAGCGAAAGCAUGGGGAGCGAACAGGAUUAGAUACCCUGGUAGUCCAUGCCGUAAACGUUGGGCACUAGGUGUGGGGACCAUUCCACGGUUUCCGCGCCGCAGCUAACGCAUUAAGUGCCCCGCCUGGGGAGUACGGCCGCAAGGCUAAAACUCAAAGGAAUUGACGGGGGCCCGCACAAGCGGCGGAGCAUGCGGAUUAAUUCGAUGCAACGCGAAGAACCUUACCAAGGCUUGACAUGUUCUCGAUCGCCGUAGAGAUACGGUUUCCCCUUUGGGGCGGGUUCACAGGUGGUGCAUGGUUGUCGUCAGCUCGUGUCGUGAGAUGUUGGGUUAAGUCCCGCAACGAGCGCAACCCUCGUUCCAUGUUGCCAGCACGUCGUGGUGGGGACUCAUGGGAGACUGCCGGGGUCAACUCGGAGGAAGGUGAGGACGACGUCAAAUCAUCAUGCCCCUUAUGUCUUGGGCUUCACGCAUGCUACAAUGGCCGGUACAAUGGGUUGCGAUACUGUGAGGUGGAGCUAAUCCCAAAAAGCCGGUCUCAGUUCGGAUUGGGGUCUGCAACUCGACCCCAUGAAGUCGGAGUCGCUAGUAAUCGCAGAUCAGCAACGCUGCGGUGAAUACGUUCCCGGGCCUUGUACACACCGCCCGU
rnacentral:rRNA from 1 species